UACGUAGGGUGCGAGCGUUGUCCGGAAUUAUUGGGCGUAAAGAGCUCGUAGGCGGUGUGUCACGUCGGCCGUGAAAACCUGCAGCUUGACUGUGGGCGUGCGGUCGAUACGGGCAUCACUGGAGUUCGGCAGGGGAGACUGGAAUUCCUGGUGUAGCGGUGAAAUGCGCAGAUAUCAGGAGGAACACCGGUGGCGAAGGCGGGUCUCUGGGCCGAUACUGACGCUGAGGAGCGAAAGCGUGGGGAGCAAACAGG
rnacentral:rRNA from 1 species